rnacentral:lncRNA from 1 species
GGGAGGGGAGGGGGACUGGCUGCCUCCGCUGAGGCCAAGGACCCAAGGCCCCCUCGCAAUCGUCCCCCUUGCAGGAGUGAAGACAGAACGGGACUUCUGCCUUCUUCUCCCCAAUGUCAGAGCCCUAUCCCUCUCCAGAUGCAAAUACCAACCACAACCACCCCAUCACUUUCUCAUUAAGAGGAGGAGAAGAAAAAAGAGACUUGGGGGACACCACCAUGGAAGAGGGAUAGUUAUAGCUUACAGCUGA